AUGGAGAGAAUCCUGGGAAUGUGUUUGGUGAUCCUGUGGCUUCAACUGUCCAGAGUAAAUAGUCAACAAGGAGAAGAGAUUCUUCGGGCUCUGAACAUCCAGGAGGGUGAAAACGCCACUGUGAGCUGCAGUUACAAAACUACUAUAACCAACCUGCAGUGGUUUCGACAGGAUACAGGUGGAGGGCCUACCCCACUAAUUUUAAUUCGAACAAAUGAGAGAGAGAAACACAGUGGAAGAUUUACAGCCACCCUUGACAAGGCCAACAAAAGCAGCUCCCUGUCCAUUACAGCUGCCCGGGCUGAAGACACUGCUGCUUACUUCUGUGCUACAGAUGCACGGUGUGCAGCAGGCACCUGCAGCCACACACAAACCCUGCCAGGCUGCUCUCUGGAAGCAUUGGCAGUGGGAGGAAUAGGUGCUUGUGUCUUCCUGUGA